UACGUAGGGUGCAAGCGUUGUCCGGAAUUAUUGGGCGUAAAGAGCUCGUAGGCGGUCUGUCACGUCGGCUGUGAAAACCCGGGGCUCAACCCCGGGCCUGCAGUCGAUACGGGCAGACUAGAGUGCGGUAGGGGAGACUGGAAUUCCUGGUGUAGCGGUGAAAUGCGCAGAUAUCAGGAGGAACACCGGUGGCGAAGGCGGGGUCUCUGGGGCCGUAACUGACGCUGAGGAGCGAAAAGCGUGGGGGAGCGAACAGG
rnacentral:rRNA from 1 species